GCCAAUAGAAAAAAGAUUCCGCUAACAAAAUUUCAAAUUGACCAAUAAAGUUGAUCAGAAAAUCACCCGAAAGAUGUCACUACAGGACAACAACAACAACACACUUCUGGGUUUGUCAUUCUGGUCAAAAUCAUUUCAAUAUAACUCCAAACAAUGGACUAACAAUAUAUUUUGGGCUCGAGAGAGUACGUGCCUGUCCCUGCGUUGCCUCUAACCUCCUAUGUUCCAUGUGACACAAUAACAAGAUGGUAUCAGCCGUGUGUCAUGUGGGAGGUGCUUGCAGCUAUAGGAGAGAGCUCUUCGGUAAUUUCAGUUUCUGAGGGAAAAUAGAUGAGUGGAGAGACCUCAGGCCACAGCACGAGACGACGUCAGGCCCAUUAAAGAAAGGCCAGAAGCAUCUCUGCAUGAUUGAUGCCAUCCAACUAAAGGUUCGACGCAACGCAGUUGGCAGCAUGACAAGUUUAAUUAUAAAACUCAACGAUCAACAUUUCAUCAAAGACAAAAGAAGCAAAAAAUAAAGUAAAUGACGAGUUUCCGCGUUCCCUUUUGUUUUUCUUCCAGGUCUCCUUCUUGAACUUUGCGUGACUAAAUGAUUCAUAUAAGAACAACAGGCAGGGUGGAGCUCCAUCACGCCGUUAAUGAACCUUUGCUUCUGUUGCUGCCUUUGUUAAAGGAAAAAUGCUCAAUAAUUUUACCUUCAAAC